rnacentral:lncRNA from 1 species
CCUGCUGAGCUUCAAAAGGAGCUGAAAGCAGCAUAUGAGCAAAGACAAAGGCAGGGAGAAGACACUAGUUACCAGCAGCCAGCCAGUGCAUCUGUGCCAAAGAAUCCUUUACUUCAGCUAAAGCCAGCAACAGUGAAAGAAAAGAAGAAAACCAAGAAAAAAAACCCCAUGAGUCCCAAGAAAAAGAUUCAGAGCCCUCUGAAAAACAAACUGCUUAGCAGUC